rnacentral:rRNA from 1 species
CUGUUCGCCAUUUAAAGUGGUACGCGAGCUGGGUUUAGAACGUCGUGAGACAGUUCGGUCCCUAUCUGCCGUGGGCGUUGGAGAAUUGAAAGGGGCUGCUCCUAGUACGAGAGGACCGGAGUGGACGAACCUCUGGUGUUCGGGUUGUGUCGCCAGACGCAUUGCCCGGUAGCUAAGUUCGGGAUCGAUAACCGCUGAAAGCAUCUAAGCGGGAAGCGAGCCUUGAGAUGAGUUCUCCCUGAUACUUUAAGUAUCCUAAAGGGUUGUCGUAGACUACGACGUUGAUAGGCAGGGUGUGUAAGCGUUGUGAGGCGUUGAGCUAACCUGUACUAAUUGCCCGUGAGGCUUAACCAU